UUAAGCUAUUGCCUAUUCUGCAUUUUCGUUUCUUCCUAGUGGCAGUAGAAUUGGCCUAUGCUAAAUUCAGGCAAAUUACGAUCCAUUUCUCACAAUGAUUUUGAAUUUAGAUGUUGUCAAAAUGACUUUCCUACUUCGACCAAGCUAUGCACAGCCGAACUGGACGUGUGGACCUUGUCUGGCUAUAAUUGAAUAGACCUGAAUUGGCUGUAUGUUGUGUCAAAAUUCAUGAACAUUUGGACGUUUAAAAGCAUUGCCAAAUAAUUAUGGAUAAUAGCCGCUUUUAUAAAACCGUAUUGGUUCGAUGGUUAACGCACAAAAUUGGCACAUCUACAAGAGGAUUCAAGGUAAAUAAUUAUUGAAGUGUUUCUUAUUUUUGUGGACGCGUGACUCGCUCAAAUAUUGAAGACUAAAAAGCAAUGUCAACAGUCGUAUGUCGAUACAAUAUGUAAAUCAAUCUGUGAGUCACUAUCUUGAUCAUUUUCCGAUUUGUCAGGAGGCAAAUGGUGUCUCCAAAGAAAGUACAUGUGCAGACGACAUGAAACUUUAGACUGCAGAAAAUUGCACAAGCAGUUAUCAAACUCAUGUCACAGAAGUGGUAAAGGACAUGUGUGACAACUGAAUGGU